GAUGAACGCUGGCGGUAUGCUUAACACAUGCAAGUCGAACGGACUCUUCGGAGUUAGUGGCGGACGGGUGGGUAACGCGUGAGAAUCUGGCUUUGGGUUCGGGACAACCACUGGAAACGGUGGCUAAUACCGGAUGUGCCGAGAGGUAAAAGAGAAAUUGCCUGAAGAUGAGCUCGCGUCUGAUUAGCUAGUUGGUGAGGUAAAGGCUCACCAAGGCAGCGAUCAGUAGCUGGUCUGAGAGGAUGACCAGCCACACUGGGACUGAGACACGGCCCAGACUCCUACGGGAGGCAGCAGUGGGGAAUUUUCCGAAAGGGGCGAAAGCCUGACGGAGCAAUACCGCGUGAGGGAAGAAGGCUCGUGGGUUGUAAACCUCUUUUCUUAGGGAAGAACAAAAUGACGGUACCUAAUGAAUCAGCAUCGGCUAACUCCGUG
rnacentral:rRNA from 1 species